rnacentral:lncRNA from 1 species
AUCAAAACCUACCUAGAGCAUUAUAAGAAGCAUUAAUUGACCUCAAAAUUGGCAUUUUUAUAGACAUGGAAUGAUGAAAUAGGUUUAUCGUAAUGUAAAGGUUAUAACUACCUCUAAUGGGGAAAGCCUUCUCUCCUUGACAUUUUGCAUAAAUUCCUUCUUUUUUCUUUAAGUAAAAAAGAAACAACCUUACAGAAUUAUGUCUUGUUCAGUUGUCCUGAUUAAGAACAUUCAGCCAAAACUGAUAAAGUGCAAGGUUAAUCCAGAAGUCCAAUGUGAGCUUCUCAUCCAUCCUAUAUAAGAUAACAUGAGACAUUUAUCAGUAACAAAUACAUAUAGAAUUUCACAUAUAAAUUAGUUUUACACUUCCAAAAAUCUCUCAUUAGGAUAUAACCUGAGCCCUGUUCCACAUCAGACAAUCACAUACACCAGAUAAUAAGGCUAAAUGCAAUAAAUAUAGACUUUGUUUUGUUAAUUUGUUUACACUAAAAUGUCAAAUAGUCAUCAAUUAGCAAAACAUAAGCAAAUCGGAGUGGGUUUUACUAGAAAGUAGAAACCCCAACGAGAAGAGAGAAAAUAAAAUGCGAUUAAAAGAAAAAAAAAAAACAGCAAUUAACCUUCGGUUCUUUCUUAUUCUGUUAUUCAAACAACUAUUUUAUUUUUAAAAGGAAAUCACAAUAUCUUAAUCACAAAAAAAACCCUAGAAAAAACUUACAAUGAUCUUGAUAAUUUUUUGGACUAGAGAGAUGAAUGAGAGUAUCCUGCGAGGGUUAGGGGUGCUUACGUCUCCGGUAGUGUAGUUACAUAGAUCGCUAUGGGUUUGGUUGUGUUUGGGUUUGUUGAGAGCGGAAUGACGAAUAUAACGGUCGACUACAAACCAGUCCUUUCGAAUUCCAAGGGUUUCUUAGAUCUCCGGCGAAGGAAGGUUCCGGGGAGCGGAGAUCGCCAUGGGUCUCCCGGGUUGGGUAUGUUAUUCGAGCGGGAUAGCUGAAGAACGUUUAUAUUGCGGGAAUAAAAAGCCAACUCUUUCGACUUCCAACGGUUAUAUAUUAUAAAUGCUUUCCAAAAUUAAAAUUUUAUAAAUUGCACCCUCAUAAAAUCAUAAAAGUAACAUAUUAAAUCUUAAACUUAUUAAAAUGCUUAAUUCU